AACGCACGAGACCUGCGGACCUGCGGAGGGAUCAUUAUCUAUGACACCGGGUGUGGUCGCGGCCCUCGGGGGUGUGGGCGUCUUCGGACGCCCUCUCUCUCGGGUGGUAGAGGUAAAACUCUCACGCGCCACAUGUCUGAAUCCUUUUUUUACGAGCACCUUUCGUUCUCCUUCGGUGGGGCAACCUGCCGUUGGAACCUAUCAAAAACCCUUUUUGCAUCUAGCAUUACCUGUUCUGAU
rnacentral:misc_RNA from 1 species